GGCGCUUUCCGGUUCCUUCCGGUUGCUUCUGGCCGCUUCCGGCCCGGCUCCUCUGCCCGCUGGCGCCAGGCCCGGCGGGGCGGAGACACCGAUUCCGCCUGAAUUACCCCCAAACGCGUCCUCCGCGCGGGCGAGCUCGAGGCGUCGCACGCAGGGGACGGCGAAAACCACGGGCAGCUUAACCCCGCGGCCGUAACGUCGCCACAAAACGUCUGAACGGCGCAGGCCGCCUGCUCCGCCCUCGGGCCUAAACCACAAAGUAACGGUGUCGAGGGCCGUCUCGCGUUCAAGAACUACAGAUACAUCAAAUAACUCCCUGCCCCCGAGCAACGUUUCCUUUUCAGACAUUUUUUUAAUGAAUGAUGAGUUUUUAAAAAUCGGUAUGGAUCUGCGGGUGUUUUGCUCUGCGUUUGAUCUGCGUUUUGCUCUGCGCAGCCUUGUCUCGAGGGGUGUCACGUUCUGAGGUGGGUUUUCCGUUGUCGAAGAGGUGUCAAACCGUGGUGACCCAAAUCCUGAAGCUGCUUCCGGAGGUCUCGCCGUAGUUCCUGCCCGGACUUGCUGAUGCGAAUGAUGACCGUGCUAAAAGCAGUCGGUUUUAAAAAUCUCAGCGUAGGAAGUACUCGGUUCAGCCCAUCACGUCUGCUUGUGGUUUUCAAGCUUUAAUGAUGUUGCGCUUUACAGCUACUCAUGAGGAAAGUUUAUGAGCACGAGGUUCUUGAAGCAAAAAGUCAUCCACAUGUGUUUACAGAAGUGAACCCAACAGCUUUGCAAUUUCCACAUUUGCUUUCUGUUUAAUAAAAAUCAUAUUAAAAAUCCUGAACCAGCCAGGAAAUAUGUACUGCGUCUUAGACCUUCAGUGGAUUCAGAGAAGCUAUGUCAGAAUGAGAAAAUAAGAAGCAGAUAUAGAGAAAUUCCAACCGUUGUCCUCUCCAGCAAGAGGAAAAGACCUUCACUUGUUGCGGGUACCAGUGAGCAGCCUUGCUACAACACCAGCUGCAGAGCCCUCGUAAGCCCUAACUGGCUAAAUAAGCUCGUCCCGACUCCCCCGUGCUGACGGAAGCGAUGUUACAAAAACCAGACUCGCAUGGUAUUGAUGUAUGCAGAGUCCAGCAUCGACUAUACUUAGCAAAACCAUCCCACAGUGAAGUAUAUCAUUUGUCAAUAGAUGCAAAAGGAAACAUUUAAUAAAGCGUAAUGACAGCUCAA